rnacentral:sRNA from 10 species
GUGCGAGCCUUGGCUCACACACUCCUCACACCCCCUGGCCCGACGCGUUCGGGCUUU